rnacentral:rRNA from 1 species
CCCUUAGAUGUUCUGGGCUGCACGCGUGCUACACUGAUAUUGCCAAUAUGUCAUUCUUAUCCGAAAUGGAUUGGGUAAUCAAGUAAUGAAAUUUCAUGCUUGGAAUCGGUAAUUGCAAUUUUAUCGUGAACGAGGAAUUCCUAGUAAGCACUAGUCAUCAGCUAAUGUUGAUUAUGUCCCUGCCCUUUGUACACACCGCCCGUCGCUCCUACCGAUUGAGUGCUCAGGUGAGCCAUUCGGACUUUCAUCAUGCUGGUUUCCAGUUUUGAUGAAGGAAAGUCUUGCGAACCUUAUCAUUUAGAGGAAGGAGAGGUCGUAACA